rnacentral:rRNA from 1 species
AGUCUAGUGACAUUACCACAAAUAUGAGGGUGUGGUUUGCUGGCAACAGCGUCCGCCCCAAGUAUUUUUCACCCAUGUCUUUUGCGCACUUUUUGUUUCCUGGGCGAGUUCGCUCGCCACCAGGACCCAACCAUAAACCUUUUUUUAUGCAGUUGCAAUCAGCGUCAGUAUAAUAAUUCAAUUUAUUAAAACUUUCAACAACGGAUCUCUUGGUUCUGGCAUCGAUGAAGAACGCAGCGAAAUGCGAUACGUAGUGUGAAUUGCAGAAUUCAGUGAAUCAUCGAAUCUUUGAACGCACAUUGCGCCCUUUGGUAUUCCAAAGGGCAUGCCUGUUCGAGCGUCAUUUGUACCCUCAAGCUUUGCUUGGUGUUGGGCGUCUUUUUGUCUCUCCCCUUGUUGGGGGAGACUCGCCUAAAACAAAUGGGGGCCGACAAAACCCCGGGGGAGAAUCCGGGAAACAUUGUUUUCGAAGACAAAUCCCAAUUUGAACCCCGGACCCGGUAGGGGUCCCGGGUAAAUUCACCAACGUUAACCGAAAGGAAAA